GACGAACGCUGGCGGCGUGCCUAAUACAUGCAAGUAGAACGCUGAAGGAGGAGCUUGCUUCUCCGGAUGAGUUGCGAACGGGUGAGUAACGCGUAGGUAACCUGCCUGGUAGCGGGGGAUAACUAUUGGAAACGAUAGCUAAUACCGCAUAAGAGUAGAUGUUGCAUGACAUUUGCUUAAAAGGUGCAAUUGCAUCACUACCAGAUGGACCUGCGUUGUAUUAGCUAGUUGGUGGGGUAACGGCUUACCAAGGCGACGAUACAUAGCCGACCUGAGAGGGGGCUCGGCCACACUGGGACUGAGACACGGCCCAGACUCCUACGGGAGGCAGCAGUAGGGAAUCUUCGGCAAUGGACGGAAGUCUGACCGAGCAACGCCGCGUGAGUGAAGAAGGUUUUCGGAUCGUAAAGCUCUGUUGUAAGAGAAGAACGAGUGUGAGAGUGGAAAGUUCACACUGUGACGGUAUCUUACCAGAAAGGGACGGCUAACUACGUG
rnacentral:rRNA from 1 species